rnacentral:lncRNA from 1 species
UAACAACAACAUUUUCAUCAUUCCCACAAUUCAAUCAAACUUCAUGGGUUUAACAUCAACAUUUUCAUUGUUCACACAAUUCAAUCAAUUUUCAUGGGUUUAACCUCAACAUUUUCAUCACUCACAUAAUUCAAUCAAAUUUCAUGGGUUUAACAACGACUUUUUUAUCAUUCACACAAUUCAAUCAAAUUUCAUAGGUUUAACAACAACAUUUUCAUCAUUC